UCCGGCUUGACGCCGGCAGUCCCCCGAGAGUCCUCAGCACCUGUGUUCCCGUUCCCUUUCGGGCACUCUCCCAUCUCUGGGAGAUUCCGUACAAGUCAAGGGUAGGUAAGGUUUUUCGCGUUGCAUCGAAUUAAUCCACAUAAUCCACCGCUUGUGCGGGUCCCCGUCAAUUCCUUUGAGUUUUAACCUUGCGGCCGUACUCCCCAGGCGGUCAACUUCACGCGUUAGCUUCGUUACCAAGGGAAUCAAUCCCCCGACAACCAGUUGACAUAGUUUAGGGCGUGGACUAC
rnacentral:misc_RNA from 1 species